rnacentral:lncRNA from 1 species
UUUAAGAAUGAUUUUUCAGCACUGAUUUUUGAACUCGUCAAAGACAUUGCUAAUACAAACCUAUGUUAUUAGAUCAUAUUAGUUUCAAAAAGUUCUGGCUGGAAUUAUACACACGAAAGCGCUAACAAUGCAAUUUUGCAUAUAGUUAAAUUACCAAAGUGCAAAGUAUUGCAAAAAGUGGUGAACUUCAGCUAAAUUUUAAACUUUUUAAAUAUUUACACAUACAUUUUGUAUCUAUCUAUGUUCAGUAAAUUUGUACAAUAAGAGUUUUGCAUAACCACGCAGUCUAUUAGAGAUAUCUUUAAAACCCUGACUGAUUAGUUUACAAAAUCAUUGAAAUAAUCGAGAACUUCCUUUAACAAAUUUUUGUGCUAUUUUCACAUUUCCUGACCGGUGUGAGAAAAAUAUUUCUCCUCACUAGUGAAAAAUUUGUUCUCGACAAAUGAUUAGUCGAAAUUUAACUGACUUCUAAAUGUUUUGUUUUCUUCUGAAUUUUCCUAUUGUGACGUCAUGAAAAAAGGCGACAAUGCCUGAUGACGUAUAUAAAGAAGUUUCUGAAAAUCUUUGAAAAAGAAGGAUAAAAUUCAUUAGAGAAACAGAUUUCGACACUAUAACUCGUGUAUUACGAUAUUUCUCCACUCUCGACAGUUAAAUUUUAGUUAUAAAGAGAUCGGUCGCGCUUUAAUAAUAAAAUUUAACUGUCUCGAGUGGAGAAAUAUCAUAAUACACUUGUUGCAGUGUAGGAAUCUGUAUUUAACAAAUUUUCUGGUUUAAUGUAACGAAUUUAGCUUUAAAAACUGUUAAAUCUUACUAUCUUUUACUUGCUAUCCUAAUAUUCGGUUUCAUACUGUUAUAGCUUUCCUAUAUCAAAAAUGAUUAAAUAAGAUUUGCAGAGGCGGAUUUAGGCCCCCCCCCCUUUUUGGGAAAAAAUGUGAUUGCUUAUAUAGGAAAUCACUGAAGCGUGACUGGAGCGGGCCCCCUCUUAGGUCAGUCAGUGGGCCCCCACUUAUGAAUAUUUCUGGAUCCGCCACUGAUUUGUUCCUUUCUUGCUAACUGGACAUAUAAAGUGAUCUAUCCAUAAAUACAUUUCAUAGAUUAAAAUACUUGGUAUCGGGCGGGCAUUUUAACAGGUCAUAAUUCAGACAAAAAUACAUUAAUUUUCCUCUUUUCGUUAAUAUAUACAUUGCAUUAAACAAAAGCCUUGUUUUUACAAGACUCCUGAUUUUUGGAACACUCCUUGUUGAAAAAUUACAUAUUAGUACCUUAUAUUUAGAAUAUUGUAGCAAUAAGAUUUAGGCAUUGUUAUGUAUCACUAAUUG